CGGGAGCCGCAGGGAGACUGGUCGGCAGGGGGCGACAAAGGGCAACUUGAGCCGCCGGGACGCGGUUGUGGAGGCCCCAGGGCUGCCGGGCAGUAGCGAUUUCCGGGACGGCCGGGCGGCCAAGUUCGGUGACCUUUCUAUGGCGUGUGCGGUCGCCGAGGCCGCCCCGCGUCUGACAUCCCCGGGGCAGUGGGCUCUCCUCGUGUGGCCUGGCGCGUGAUUGCUGGCCCACCCCACUCUGCCAGGCCUCAGUUCCUAGUCUCUGAGGGUCUGGGCUUCUGCAGGGACGUAGGAGUUACAAAAUGCCCCCUCCGCCCAUGUCCCCCCAUUUUUUGAGGUCUUGACCUCUACCUCCCAGAGCUCACGCUGCCUCCUCCAGGAAGCUUGUCCCGGAGCCCUGGGACGAGACUCGAGCCCCACCCCUGACCCCCGUGCUCUCGGGCCCACAAACAGGUCCCUGGGCCUUGACGCAUGGCCAUCUGGGGACCCCUGUCCCAGAACGCAGAGCCUGGGCAGAGCCCCCUCCCCAGCCAUGGCCCCAGGUUCGUUGGGGGUCCUGAGGCUGGUAAAGGCCGCCUUUCGUCAGGCUGAGACCGUGAACUUGGCACGGGCCAUCACCACCGACAGCUGACUAGUAGGAGAUGCAAAGGGAGAGGACCCUGCCGAGGCCUGAGGUCCCCGUGAGGCGCGGGGGCUGGGGAGCCGAGAAGCCGACCUUGAUGGAAGGCCGACCUUGAUUAAUUAAGGAUUUCGUUCUAUCAUCCAGGCU
rnacentral:lncRNA from 10 species